ensembl:lncRNA
AUUUAAAUAAUAAUAUAUCAAUGGAAGCCCAUUUAAAAAUAAAUAAAUAAAUAAAUAAAUAAAUAAAUAAAUAAAUAAAUAAAUAAAUAAAUAAAUGUUAUUGCUACUUUCUGUUUUACAAUUGUAACUUUGUUUCACAUAUUUUUUUCUUGGAAUUCUGAGUUUAAGCAACGGGUUCAAGACCAGCAGGUUAAAGGUGCUGCUGUGGGGCCGUGUUUUAUUUUGUUUUUUGGGUGCGGUUUGGUCUCUGGCAUCACAUCAACCUCAUCUCUCUUUUAACAUUUUUUUACAGUUUCAACAAAUGCUGAGAGACUUCAAACCCUGACUGACUCUAUGGUAACCGAAAGUGUUUUGUUUGUUCUCGCAGGGCUCAAGUUUACAGGAAAAUGCCAUAAAAAGCGAGAGAUUGUGAUUAAUAGUUCCAUGUUAUUAUUGGAGGUAAACAGUGGAGCUUGGGAAUUGAAGCUGUACUGUAAAUAAAGGAGGGGGAAGUAGAAAUGUUGUGAACAGGAAACAGUUGAUGUGGGAAUGUUAAGUGAUUCCUCCCGCUGCGUCUCACUGUUUCUCUCUCUGUCUAUUGUUGUGUAUCUAAACUGUCUUUAUAUCAUUGAUCCUGAUGAUGAUGUAAGUGCAGGCGGCUGAGGUGCAGACAGGAGAUCUAUCCUGAGCAAAUCAUCUACAGUCUGUGGAGCUUCUUCAUCUACCGCAGACCUGCUGUGAAGUGCAUCAUGGGAAAUCUUCUGCUUCAUAAUAAGCCGAAGACGAGCGGAAUUUGGACGGCAGCCAGAGGGAGGACGGCCAUGUUGUCACCAGACGCUUCAUCCACGACACACUUCUGCUCUCGCUGCUUUAUUCUCUCGCUCUUUCUGGAAGCACUUUGACAUGAAGCUGGCUAGAAAUUAAGAGCAGAGAAAGAGACGAUGGUGACCCCGCUCCUUUUUUUCAUAAAAAAAAAAAAAAAAUCAAAUUUUUGUAUGAAACUGAAUAUCAGUUCGAAUUAGUUCUGAUCCGGGGUAAAAUAUAACAUUUCCUUCUUUUUUUCUAAAAAAAAAAAAAAAAAAAAAAAAAAAAACAGCAUGAAUACACACACACACAUAAAGAUGUGAAUGAUUCUGCUCUGAUGUAAAUUAACACACAUGAUUCAUUUUCCAUCAAGAAUAUCAGCAUGCAGUUUGACUGCCUAAUCUGGCCAAGUCCCGCCCACUUACACAGGAAGAGACCGGCUGAUUGACAUGUCAAGCAACCAAUCAGUUUAAUGUUUUAUGUGAUGUAUAGAGGUUUUUGAAACAGUUGAUGCCAUAAUAUUUGUAAUAUAUAUAUAUAUAUAUAUAUAUAUAUAUAUAUAUAUAUAUAUAUAUAUAUAUAUAUAUAUAUAUAUAAAAAUGUUGUGUCAGUUUUUGCAAAUGAUCUUGCAGACUGUUGAGAAAUAUGGAAAUAUGUGGUUUCCG